GUAGGUGGCAAGCGUUGUCCGGAAUUAUUGGGGCGUAAAGCGCGCGCAGGCGGUCCUUUUAAGUCUGAUGGUGAAAAGCCCCACGGGCUCAACCGUGGGAGGGUCAUUGGAAACUGGGGGACUUGAGUGCAGAAGAGAAGAGUGGAAUUUCCACGUGUAGCGGUGAAAUGCGUAGAGAUGUGGAGGAACACCAGUGGCGAAGGCGACUCUUUGGUCUGUAACUGGCGCUGAGGCGCGAAAGCGUGGGGAGCAAACAGGAUUAGAUACCCUGGUAGUCCACGCCGUAAACGAUGAGUGCUAAGUGUUUAGAGGGUUUCCGCCCUUUAGUGCUGCAGCAAACGCAUUAAGCACUCCGCCUGGGGAGUACGGCCGCAAAGGCUG
rnacentral:rRNA from 1 species